UACGGGGGAGCAAGCGUUGUUCGGAUUUACUGGGCGUAAAGGGCGGGUAGGCGGCCACCGCAAGUCAGUUGUGAAAUCUCUGGGCUUAACCCAGAAAGGUCAACUGAUACUGCGGGGCUAGAGUGCAGAAGGGGCAACUGGAAUUCUCGGUGUAGCGGUGAAAUGCGUAGAUAUCGAGAGGAACACCUGCGGCGAAGGCGGGUUGCUGGGCUGACACGUGACGCUGAAGCGCGAAAGCUAGGGGAGCGAACGGG
rnacentral:rRNA from 1 species